UUCAACUCCGUCAAACAUCCUUAAAGCACCUACAAUUUCUUUCAAGCCAUAUUAUCCACACGAUACAAAGGGAUUUGCUCAUCCAUGUCUUCGUUCGCCUUCUCCUCACUGACUGACCUUGAUCGGAAUUUCGAAAUUGGAAUUUCGCGUAAUUCACGUCUUAUGCACAAGUAUUCACCUAACAAUGCCAUCACCGCAAGCCCAGUAACAUUCACAACCCACCAUGUAAUUGAAGAAGGCCAGCCUCCAUAGAUAAUACAUAUUAAAAGAUGUACGAUGUAAAGUGUUGCUGAAAAAUCUAAGCACUUCUUUGCCCUCUCAAUCAAAUAAAGCAAAAAGCCAGCUCCUGCUAGUGAACUGAGAAUAAAUGAGGCAAUGACGCACCAUCCAGUGACGGUGGAAGCAGUAACAGUAGCAUAAUCAAAAAAAUAUACCAGACUAAUUCGUGAAACACGAGUUCCAACAAGAAUUGUCAUGAAUAUCCCCAGCGUCAAAUAAUAUAGACAUUGAAAACACACGAUCUGCGCAACAAUAAGCCAUGGAUCCCACACUGCCGUUCCAUAGAACAUGACUUUUUCGAUCCUCUUUCACCAAUAAUCCCAAUUCCUCUAAAAACAAAAUUCUGAAUCUGAAAAAAAG
rnacentral:misc_RNA from 1 species